CUUGCGGGUGCCCCGUCCCCUCCUUUGGAAACGAUACUAUAUUUUCUCUGUGUUUGGCCGAAGGAAAGAAAUAUUUUCAUUAGACUUGCAAGCUGUUUGAAAGAGGGUGACUGGGGAGGGGCAGGUCUGAAAGUGGGUGGCUGUCCUUUGAUCUGGUGGCCUCCGAGCAGGGGUGGCAAAGUUACCAUUUUAGAGGGAACUGUUGGUUUUCCUUCCACGCGGCGUGCGCGCUGCAACGGUGCUCAACCCCACGGCCACAUCGGCUUCAAGCGCGCCCUGAGUGUGUAACACGCAGCACCGAGAGGUGGACGCAACGCUUCACAGACACAACCGUGGGACUGCUUCGCCGAGUUGUGAAAUAAUUGAGAGGUGUUGCAAAUGCAUCCACGCGCCGCGAGUGAGCAACCGACUUCAAGUCUGAACACGUCUCCCGAGGGAUAUUUUAGCUUGACGAUAAUGAUGGCGAGUGUGCGCGCUUGAAAUCAGGAGGGCAAAAGGGCCUGAGGCAGAGCCAAGUUCCGUGGAGGGAAGGGGUGGGACUGGGAGCCACGGGGCGCGCGAGCGGGUGUAGACGCGGGAGGUACUGGCUGCAUCUCUGUUUCCUGGGCUUUAAAGACACUGCUCUUGGCGGCUGCAGAAGGCAAGCCGGCCUUGAAGAAGGGAGCCAAGGAGCCGUGUCUAGGUCUUCCAGAACCGCCCCCCCCCCUUUGGUUAUUACAAAUUUUCCCCACCCUCCUCUGAUGCUGAACGUGUAGCAAAUAAAACAGGGACACGCCAACUGGUCUAGCCCAG